rnacentral:rRNA from 1 species
UACGUAGGGUGCGAGCGUUGUCCGGAAUUGCUGGGCGUAAAGAGUUCGUAGGCGGUUUGUCGCGUCGUUCGUGAAAACUUGGGGCUUAACUCCAAGCGUGCGGGCGAUACGGGCAGACUUGAGUACUACAGGGGAGACUGGAAUUCCUGGUGUAGCGGUGAAAUGCGCAGAUAUCAGGAGGAACACCGGUGGCGAAGGCGGGUCUCUGGGUAGUAACUGACGCUGAGGAACGAAAGCGUGGGUAGCGAACAGG